AAGGCGUGAACAGGAGUAACAUUCACUAUAAAUGCAUUACAAAUGCAGCACGAGCCAUUGGUGAAACCCCAGUCAGUGGAGAGGAGCAAAGCGAGGACAGGAAUCAAAAAUAGAAGCUAAAAUGUCUCUUCAAGUCUCAACCGUGGCCAUGGUCCUCUGUGUUUUGUGUUUCAUUGACUUCGGUGUCUCCACAGCAAACGCUUAUGGAAACUGCACUGAGAAUUCAUGUGCAUCUCCAUGUGAUACUUCCAUGUCAUGUUCCGGAACCCGAACACUAAAAAAUGUCAAUUGCAUAACUGUCUGCGUAAACCGUUGUGUGUGUAACGCUGGCUAUUUAUACAAUAGUACAAGACAUUGUGUUCUACGUCAAGACUGCAACUGAGAAUGACUUUGUAACCAGUAAGACAUGGCUUUCCAGUCCGGGAGGCGAAGGUGCUCGGCUUGGAUGCUCCUAUCACUUGACCAGAACUUCUAGUUGAUUAAUUACUCCUUAAAUAAAUUGUUUGUAUUAUAUCACUUGUAUUUAUGGGGUUGUCUAUGCUAAAAAAAAAAAAAAAAAAGUUCCUUUUAUGGAACUGAGGUACUAGAGUGGGGUUUUCAGAUCAGAACCUUCUUCUGUUAUCCAGAGGAGAAUAUAUUUUGUUUUUGAGAGCCAUGAUGUCCAUUGAAAUCAUGGACACCUAUUGAAUUUGAUGGACACCCUGCCAUCUCCUAUUUCUUGUGCACUAUCGCUGUAGGGCACUGGUAUCCAACGUACUGUAUAUCUCUCCAGCUGUUGCAAAAUUACAACCCUAACAGCCUGGCAUGGACAUUUUUGGAGUUGAAGUUUUGCUACAAGUUUGGUUCCAGUGCCCUACUUCAACAGUGAGAAGGAAAUAGGAAAUAGCAUUGUGGUGUGACCCAACAGUAGUGAUCCCCAAACUGUUGGUCUCCCAGCUGUUGGAAUUCAAAUCCUCCAUCCUCCAUCAUUCUCUGACAGGCAUGGCUCACAGGACAUGAUGGGAGUCCUAGUUUUUUAGGGGCCACUUCUGUAGGGGAAACAACUGUUUAUAAUUUGUAAUAAGCGUGUCGCUGGAGGACCUAGGGCUAGAAACUAGACAACCGCUAUAAUAUCACUUGUGCCUAUUCUUUAUUCUUAUGGAUUUUUUUUUUCAUGUGUUUGGAAAUAUCUAUAUGAAUUGUACACAAUAAACUUCCAAAGCUAAUA